CCUUCAGACAGGCCAUACUUUAUAAGAAGUUGGACAACCGGAACCUGCACAGGGUGAUCCGGGUGGUCUGCGGCCCCACGUACGGAACUGUAGUUCGUGCUCUGAUCAACCGACAACAUCUUCUGCCGAACCUCCGGGAGUCUCCAAGCUCGCCAACGUAGACCAACCUUAUCUAGGACAGGUUUAAGAUUGUUGACUGGAGAGUCCGGUACAAGGCUUCUGAUCUUAUUAAUAUAUUUAAGUCCUUGCCUGAUUCUCCUAAGGGCCAAAGGCAUUACACCCAGCUCAACAAGGACACUGUCAUAUGGCAUACAGAUAGUGCCCCCCAACAAUAUCUUGAGUGCUCUACCAUAAACGCCAUCAAGUUUUCUAAGCUGAGUCUGGGAGGCACAACCAAAGGCCUGAGCACCAUACUGAAGUCUGGACACAAUAAUAUAAAUGAAUGAAUGUUUAACGACACCCCAGCACGAAAAAUACAUCGGCUAUUGGGUGUCAAACUAUGGUAAUGCAAAUAAAUAAAGUGAUGAUCAAUA